AUUAAUUAUCAGAAGCUAGCGGUGCGCCUAACACAUGCAAGUCGAGCUGAGGCUUCGAGCCGAGCGGCGAACGGCUGCGUAACACGUUGGUACCUACCCCAUACUCAGGGAUAAUCCGCCGAAAGGCGGACUAAUACCGGAUGGUCCUGCAAAGGUAAAGCUUUAGCGGUAUGGGAAGGGCCUGCGGCCUAUCAGCUAGUUGGUGAGGUAAUGGCUCACCAAGGCUAUGACGGGUAGCUGAUCUGAGAGGAUGAUCAGCCAGAAUGGGACUGAGACACGGCCCAUACUCCUACGGGAGGCAGCAGUGAGGAAUAUUCCGCAAUGGGGGAAACCCUGACGGAGCGACACCGCGUGGAGGAUGAAACCCUUUUGGGCGUAAACUCCUGUUCUGAGGGACGAAAUUUUUGACGGUACCUCAGAAGAAAGCACCGGCUAAUUCUGUGCCAGCAACCGCGGUAAGACAGAAGGUGCAAUGCGUUACUCGGGAAUUACUGGGCGUAAAGCGUCCGCAG
rnacentral:rRNA from 1 species